GAUGAAGAACGCAGCGAAAUGCGAUAAGUAAUGUGAAUUGCAGAAUUCAGUGAAUCAUCGAAUCUUUGAACGCAUCUUGCGCUCCUUGGUAUUCCGAGGAGCAUGCCUGUUUGAGUGUCAUUAAAUUCUCAACUACACUGAUUUUUUUUGGUUGGUGUAGAUUGGAUUUGGGGGAAUUUUUUGCGGGCUUUGUAAAAUGAAGUCGGCUCCCCUGAAAUUAAUUAGUGGUACCUUAGUAGAACUGUCUACAGGUGUGAUAAUUUAUCUACGACUCAGAUGUCUGCAUGAAAAAGGUUAUGCUGCUUCUUAACCUCACUAAUGAUAAUCUUGACCUCAAAUCAGGUAGGACUACCCGCUGAACUUAAGCAUAUCAAUAAGCGGAGGA
rnacentral:misc_RNA from 1 species